rnacentral:rRNA from 1 species
AGUGAACGCUGGCGGUAGGCCUAACACAUGCAAGUCGAACGGCAGCACAGUAAGAGCUUGCUCUUACGGGUGGCGAGUCGCGGGCGGGUGAGGAAUACAUCGGAAUCUACUUUUUCGUGGGGGUUAACGUAGGGAAACUUACGCUAAUACCGCAUACGACCUACGGGUGAAAGCAGGGGAUCUUCGGACCUUGCGCGAUUGAAUGCGCCGAUGACGGAUUAGCUAGUUGGCGGGGUAAAGACCCACCAAGUCGCCGAUCCGUAGCCGGUCGGAGAGGAGGGUCAGCGACACUGGAACGUAAACACGGUCCAGAGCCCUGCGGGAGGGAGCAGAGUGGAAUAUUGGCCAAUGGGCGCAAGCCUGAUCCAGCCAGCGCACGUCGGAGGAGGAGGCCUUGGGGUCGUAAUGCCCUUCUGUUGGGAAAAAAAAGCCGCAGGUUAUUACCACGCUGUUCUGACGGUACCCAAAGAAGAAGCACCGGCUAACUUCGUG